rnacentral:rRNA from 1 species
UCGCCUACGGGGCGCAGCAGUGGGGGAUAUUGGGCAAUGGGCGCAAGCCUGACCCAGCAACGCCGCGUGAAGGAAGAAGGCCCUCGGGUUGUAAACUUCUUUUAUCAGGGACGAAACAAAUGACGGUAACUGAUGAAUAAGCCACGGCUAACUACGUGCCAGCAGCCGCGGAAAUACGUAGGUGGCAAGCGUUAUCCGGAUUUACUGGGUGGAAAGGGCGUGUAGGCGGGAGAGCA